GGUUAAGCGACUAAGCGUACACGGUGGAUGCCCUGGCAGUCAGAGGCGAUGAAGGACGUGCUAAUCUGCGAUAAGCGUCGGUAAGGUGAUAUGAACCGUUAUAACCGGCGAUUUCCGAAUGGGGAAACCCAGUGUGUUUCGACACACUAUCAUUAACUGAAUCCAUAGGUUAAUGAGGCGAACCGGGGGAACUGAAACAUCUAAGUACCCCGAGGAAAAGAAAUCAACCGAGAUUCCCCCAGUAGCGGCGAGCGAACGGGGAGCAGCCCAGAGCCUGAAUCAGUGUGUGUGUUAGUGGAAGCGUCUGGAAAGGCGCGCGAUACAGGGUGACAGCCCCGUACACAAAAAUGCACAUGCUGUGAGCUCGAUGAGUAGGGCGGGACACGUGGUAUCCUGUCUGAAUAUGGGGGGACCAUCCUCCAAGGCUAAAUACUCCUGACUGACCGAUAGUGAACCAGUACCGUGAGGGAAAGGCGAAAAGAACCCCGGCGAGGGGAGUGAAAAAGAACCUGAAACCGUGUACGUACAAGCAGUGGGAGCCUCUUUAUGGGGUGACUGCGUACCUUUUGUAUAAUGGGUCAGCGACUUAUAUUCUGUAGCAAGGUUAACCGAAUAGGGGAGCCGAAGGGAAACCGAGUCUUAACUGGGCGUUAAGUUGCAGGGUAUAGACCCGAAACCCGGUGAUCUAGCCAUGGGCAGGUUGAAGGUUGGGUAACACUAACUGGAGGACCGAACCGACUAAUGUUGAAAAAUUAGCGGAUGACUUGUGGCUGGGGGUGAAAGGCCAAUCAAACCGGGAGAUAGCUGGUUCUCCCCGAAAGCUAUUUAGGUAGCGCCUCGUGAACUCAUCUCCGGGGGUAGAGCACUGUUUCGGCAAGGGGGUCAUCCCGACUUACCAACCCGAUGCAAACUGCGAAUACCGGAGAAUGUUAUCACGGGAGACACACGGCGGGUGCUAACGUCCGUCGUGAAGAGGGAAACAACCCAGACCGCCAGCUAAGGUCCCAAAGUCAUGGUUAAGUGGGAAACGAUGUGGGAAGGCCCAGACAGCCAGGAUGUUGGCUUAGAAGCAGCCAUCAUUUAAAGAAAGCGUAAUAGCUCACUGGUCGAGUCGGCCUGCGCGGAAGAUGUAACGGGGCUAAACCAUGCACCGAAGCUGCGGCAGCGACGCUGAUGCGUUGUUGGGUAGGGGAGCGUUCUGUAAGCCUGUGAAGGUGUACUGUGAGGUAUGCUGGAGGUAUCAGAAGUGCGAAUGCUGACAUAAGUAACGAUAAAGCGGGUGAAAAGCCCGCUCGCCGGAAGACCAAGGGUUCCUGUCCAACGUUAAUCGGGGCAGGGUGAGUCGACCCCUAAGGCGAGGCCGAAAGGCGUAGUCGAUGGGAAACAGGUUAAUAUUCCUGUACUUGGUGUUACUGCGAAGGGGGGACGGAGAAGGCUAUGUUGGCCGGGCGACGGUUGUCCCGGUUUAAGCGUGUAGGCUGGUUUUCCAGGCAAAUCCGGAAAAUCAAGGCUGAGGCGUGAUGACGAGGCACUACGGUGCUGAAGCAACAAAUGCCCUGCUUCCAGGAAAAGCCUCUAAGCAUCAGGUAACAUCAAAUCGUACCCCAAACCGACACAGGUGGUCAGGUAGAGAAUACCAAGGCGCUUGAGAGAACUCGGGUGAAGGAACUAGGCAAAAUGGUGCCGUAACUUCGGGAGAAGGCACGCUGAUAUGUAGGUGAAGCGACUUGCUCGUGGAGCUGAAAUCAGUCGAAGAUACCAGCUGGCUGCAACUGUUUAUUAAAAACACAGCACUGUGCAAACACGAAAGUGGACGUAUACGGUGUGACGCCUGCCCGGUGCCGGAAGGUUAAUUGAUGGGGUUAGCGCAAGCGAAGCUCUUGAUCGAAGCCCCGGUAAACGGCGGCCGUAACUAUAACGGUCCUAAGGUAGCGAAAUUCCUUGUCGGGUAAGUUCCGACCUGCACGAAUGGCGUAAUGAUGGCCAGGCUGUCUCCACCCGAGACUCAGUGAAAUUGAACUCGCUGUGAAGAUGCAGUGUACCCGCGGCAAGACGGAAAGACCCCGUGAACCUUUACUAUAGCUUGACACUGAACAUUGAGCCUUGAUGUGUAGGAUAGGUGGGAGGCUUUGAAGUGUGGACGCCAGUCUGCAUGGAGCCGACCUUGAAAUACCACCCUUUAAUGUUUGAUGUUCUAACGUUGACCCGUAAUCCGGGUUGCGGACAGUGUCUGGUGGGUAGUUUGACUGGGGCGGUCUCCUCCUAAAGAGUAACGGAGGAGCACGAAGGUUGGCUAAUCCUGGUCGGACAUCAGGAGGUUAGUGCAAUGGCAUAAGCCAGCUUGACUGCGAGCGUGACGGCGCGAGCAGGUGCGAAAGCAGGUCAUAGUGAUCCGGUGGUUCUGAAUGGAAGGGCCAUCGCUCAACGGAUAAAAGGUACUCCGGGGAUAACAGGCUGAUACCGCCCAAGAGUUCAUAUCGACGGCGGUGUUUGGCACCUCGAUGUCGGCUCAUCACAUCCUGGGGCUGAAGUAGGUCCCAAGGGUAUGGCUGUUCGCCAUUUAAAGUGGUACGCGAGCUGGGUUUAGAACGUCGUGAGACAGUUCGGUCCCUAUCUGCCGUGGGCGCUGGAGAACUGAGGGGGGCUGCUCCUAGUACGAGAGGACCGGAGUGGACGCAUCACUGGUGUUCGGGUUGUCAUGCCAAUGGCACUGCCCGGUAGCUAAAUGCGGAAGAGAUAAGUGCUGAAAGCAUCUAAGCACGAAACUUGCCCCGAGAUGAGUUCUCCCUGACUCCUUGAGAGUCCUGAAGGAACGUUGAAGACGACGACGUUGAUAGGCCGGGUGUGUAAGCGCAGCGAUGCGUUGAGCUAACCGGUACUAAUGAACCGUGAGGCUUAACCUU
rnacentral:rRNA from 1 species